CCUACGGUGGGCAGCAGUGGGGAAUAUUGGACAAUGGGCGAAAGCCUGAUCCAGCCAUGCCGCGUGUGUGAAGAAGGCCUUCGGGUUGUAAAGCACUUUCAGUGGGGAAGAAAGCCUUGGGGCUAAUACCCUCGAGGAAGGACAUCACCCACAGAAGAAGCACCGGCUAACUCCGUGCCAGCAGCCGCGGUAAUACGGAGGGUGCGAGCGUUAAUCGGAAUUACUGGGCGUAAAGCGCGCGUAGGCGGUCUGAUAAGCCGGUUGUGAAAGCCCCGGGCUCAACCUGGGAACGGCAUCCGGAACUGUCAGGCUAGAGUGCAGGAGAGGAAGGUAGAAUUCCCGGUGUAGCGGUGAAAUGCGUAGAGAUCGGGAGGAAUACCAGUAGCGAAGGCGGCCUUCUGGACUGACACUGACGCUGAGGUGCGAAAGCGUGGGUAGCAAACAGGAUUAGAUACCCUAGUAGUC
rnacentral:rRNA from 1 species